AUUAGUUCAGCUUGGAUUAAGCAUACUCAAUAGAAUUAUUGUUAUUAUUUUACUUUAUAGCUUUAGUUUUCCGAAAUCGGCAUAAUAUCCCAUAAAUUCCAGGAUUUACCAUUUAAAAUUAUCUCCUUUCUUGCUAAAAUAAACAUAAAUUCAUGACUCUUAAUUGCAAAUUUGACCAAAAAUAAAACCCAUAAUAACUUAAUCACCAAGGUUCCAAAACUCAUAACCAAAUUUUCCACACCAAAAAAAAAAGUCAUACCAACAACUUUAUUACUAUAGCCUUCCCUUAUUCAUUCAACGACAUACUUAUCAAACUAAGCAAAAGUAGCUAAGUAGUAAAACAAGCUCAGACGAAGAAGCGAAAAUUAGCUAGAGGAGUGUCUCCUUCAGCACAAGCUCGAUGCACACGAGCCAUCCGGUCAACGGACUUACAAAUCCCGCUGCAAGACCAAUCGAACGACGCAGCACAUACGUUACCAGCUUGUGCUUUCCAUUGACAAUCAGGUGGAGUUCCACAACACAUUGACCUCUCGUCCACAUGCUCCACUUCUAACCCUAACAUCCAUGCUCCUAACGACACAUCCUCGUUCGCGUACCGGUGUAGUAUUCCUCUGCGGAUAUGUCCACCGAAUCAAACCUCAAAAUCUGAAUACUUUUACGUAUAUAUAACAUCCUUGAAUUUGAAAGCCCUUACUGGUUAGUGGAGAUAUAUGUAGCUAAGUCUUUAGAGAUUGCGUAAAUUUGACCUGUUGCAUGCCUAAAGUAUUUGUUACCUUCUUCUCCAAAUUUCCAAAACUCUGGCUCGUGGUACUUCACUCCUCUAUACAUUUCCAAAAAUCCUUACUUUAGUUCAGAUUUUUAUCCAAAGGUUUCAAAUUUUUUGUAAAGAAGCUUACUUUUGUGAAAGAACAGGACCAGACUUCAUGCAUCCAAUGUAAAUCCUUGGUCUUGAUUGAUAUCUCGCAAGUGUUGUAACAAGCAUACCUAAAUUGACAUGAACAUCAUCAUCCACUUUCACGUAGAACUCUGCGUCAUACAUUGCAGUUGCUGUUGAGAAGUACAGUCUUGUCUUUGUCGAGAGUUGGUGAUAUCCUUCAAUGUGUUUUAGUCUUAAGAAAUCUUUAUGCUCUGAAUCUUCUUCAUCUAUGGCUUUAUCUAAUACUCCUCCUGGUGUUGCACUGUGUCCUAUCACAAACCUGUCAAAUAAAAAUCCAAACUUUCUCUGUUUCAUAUGACUGAGGUUUGGUUGUUUAGAUUUUUAAAGUAGUGAAAUUGAGGAUACUUGUGGCUUACUUCACAACCUUACAACAAUCCCUUUCUCUUUCUCGAUUUUCUUUAGCUUUUCUCCUGUUGGCAUCCACGUUUGUCUCACCGAGUCACGUCUUUUCUUGCUGCUGAAUGCUGUGUUAAUGCCUAUCACUGCAAACACUUUCUGCAGACGGCUCUGGUUUUUCGCCGACCGUUCGCUCCAGAACUCACUGCUUCUAUCGCUGGUACGUGCUGCUGCUAACUCCAUCUCCAAUGUUGACAUUGUUCUCUCCAAUGAUCUAAUAAUAUAAACACUUUUAGUGUUACCUCCUCUGUUCUAAUUAUGUAAAGAAACACAAGAAAGAAUAAGAUUUUAUUACUUUACUGCUUGGUGAGUUCUCGAUACUUCUCCUAUUAUGUCUCUGGAUUUGCUUUCUAUCAAUUUCUGAAUCAACAAAGAGUAACACUUGUUGUUAGUGAGUAAUAUAUAUGAUGAGCAUGAGCAGGUGUUAAUCAAGUAGCCUUACGCGUUUAUGUUCAUCGCAGUCCUUUUGAAUCUCUAAAUGUUUGGACAAAUGCUUUGUGAGAUGGUGAUCUUCUUCUUCAGGUAUGUAAGAGCGACUCAAAGUUCGACUCAUGAACAGUGAGCCUGCAAGAAAGCUGGCUAGACAAAGCACUAUUAUGGCUUUCCCCGAAGCAGCUUUCGCCCUCAUCUCCGCGCCUCCUUAGUGCUAAAUCUAGAAAACAUCAAAUAAUUGAUCAUGAAUUAUGAGGAUGCUAUAAACUUCAUAGUUACAUAGACAUAUACAACUUUUCUUUUUCUAAUAUAAUCAAAUCUGUUUUAUAUGAUAAAAUGCCAUUUGCAGGAGAUUUUUCUGAAUCAAGAACGUUAUGGACUAAGGCUAUACAUUAAGGAACUCAAAGAUUAUUGCGUGAGAAUCAAGAACGUACCUCUCUAUAAGCGCAUAUGAGACACCAAAAGGACUGAAUUUUGAGAUUAAGAAACAAGUCUUGAAUGUUGAGGAGAUGUUAUUUAUAUAAAAUGAAAACAAGAAUGUAGUUGCAGAACGGCAAUGGCGUUUAUGUUUUGCUUCUCUCUCUCAAUCUGACUGUCUUGUCAUGCAAUGUACAUGUCCCAACUAACUAUUUCCAUAUAGUAUAGAUAUUACGAAACAAAAGGAGAAAUCCCACAAAAACUAUAGUUUUGGUUUUGUUUUUGCUUUCC
rnacentral:lncRNA from 1 species